CUGCUGUUUGUUAUAGCCUUGGGGUAGGUAAACAAGAAUCAAGAGGGUGCCCGGUGAUAUCCCUUGGGCAACUCCAGAUAUUGACCCCUUCCAUCUCU